GAUGAACGCUAGCUACAGGCUUAACACAUGCAAGUCGAGGGGAAACGAUAUUGGAAGCUUGCUUCUGAUAGGCGUCGACCGGCGCACGGGUGAGUAACGCGUAUCCAACCUGCCCAUCACUUGGGGAUAACCUUGCGAAAGUAAGACUAAUACCCAAUGACGUCUCUAGAAGACAUCUGAAAGAGAUUAAAGAUUUAUCGGUGAUGGAUGGGGAUGCGUCUGAUUAGCUUGUUGGCGGGGUAACGGCCCACCAAGGCGACGAUCAGUAGGGGUUCUGAGAGGAAGGUCCCCCCACAUUGGAACUGAGACACGGUCCAAAACUCCUACGGGAGGCAGCAGUGAGGAAUAUUGGUCAAUGGACGAGAGUCUGAACCAGCCAAGUAGCGUGCAGGAUGACGGCCCUAUGGGUUGUAAACUUCUUUUAUACGGGAAUAAAGUGAGCCACGUGUGACUUUUUGUAUGUACCGUAUGAAUAAGGAUCGGCUAACUCCGUGCCAGCAG
rnacentral:rRNA from 1 species